ACGCUGGCGGCAGGCUUAACACAUGCAAGUCGAGCCGGGGAAAAGUAGCUUGCUACUUAACUUAGCGGCGGACGGGUGAGUAAUACUUAGGAAUCUGCCUAUUAGUGGGGGACAACAUUUCGAAAGGAAUGCUAAUACCGCAUACGUCCUACGGGAGAAAGCAGGGGAUCACUUGUGACCUUGCGCUAAUAGAUGAGCCUAAGUCGGAUUAGCUAGUUGGUGGGGUAAAGGCCUACCAAGGCGACGAUCUGUAGCGGGUCUGAGAGGAUGAUCCGCCACACUGGGACUGAGACACGGCCCAGACUCCUACGGGAGGCAGCAGUGGGGAAUAUUGGACAAUGGGGGGAACCCUGAUCCAGCCAUGCCGCGUGUGUGAAGAAGGCCUUUUGGUUGUAAAGCACUUUAAGCGAGGAGGAGGCUACUCUAGUUAAUACCUAGGGAUAGUGGACGUUACUCGCAGAAUAAGCACCGGCUAACUCUGCGCCAGCAGCCGCGGUAAUACAGAGGGUGCGAGCGUUAAUCGGAUUUACUGGGCGUAAAGCGUGCGUAGGUGGCCAAUUAAGUCAAAUGUGAAAUCCCCGAGCUUAACUUGGGAAUUGCAUUCGAUACUGGUUGGCUAGAGUAUGGGAGAGGAUGGUAGAAUUCCAGGUGUAGCGGUGAAAUGCGUAGAGAUCUGGAGGAAUACCGAUGGCGAAGGCAGCCAUCUGGCCUAAUACUGACACUGAGGUACGAAAGCAUGGGGAGCAAACAGGAUUAGAUACCCUGGUAGUCCAUGCCGUAAACGAUGUCUACUAGCCGUUGGGGUCUUUGAGACUUUAGUGGCGCACCUAACGCGAUAAGUAAACCGCCUGGGAGUACCGUCCCAAGACUAAAACUCAAAUGAAUUG
rnacentral:rRNA from 1 species